rnacentral:ncRNA from 1 species
CGACGGACUUAAAAAAUUGAGUGCCUUUGGGGAAACCCAGAGAGUAGAACUGCUCAAAUUCGGGGAAAGCUUAGAUCGCAAGAUAAUGCCAAUCCCGAGCCAAGCCCAAAACUUGAAAAAGAUUUGGGAAGGUGUAGAGACUAGACGGGCAGCACCUACGACAAGGAUCAGUGAGUUAGACCUUGUUAUGGUGAAGGGAUAGUCCAGACCACAAACGCGCG